AGUGAACGCUGGCGGUAGGCCUAACACAUGCAAGUCGAACGGCAGCACAGUAAGAGCUUGCUCUUACGGGUGGCGAGUGGCGGACGGGUGAGGAAUACAUCGGGAUCUACUUUUUCGUGGGGGAUAACGUAGGGAAACUUACGCUAAUAUCGCAUACGAUCUACGGGUGAAAGCAGUGGAUCUUCGGACCUUGCGCGAUUGAAUGAGCCGAUGUCGGAUUAGCUAGUUGGCGGGGUAAAGGCCCACCAAGGCGACGAUCCGUAGCUGGUCUGAGAGGAUGAUCGGCCACACUGGAACUGAGACACGGUCCAGACUCCUACGGGAGGCAGCAGUGGGGAAUAUUGGACAAUGGGCGCAAGCCUGAUCCAGCCAUACCGCGUGAGUGAAGAAGGCCUUCGGGUUGUAAAGCCCUUUUGUUGGGAAAGAAAAACAGCAGGUUAAUACCCCGCUGUUCUGACGGUACCCAAAGAAUAAGCACCGGCUAACUUCGUG
rnacentral:rRNA from 1 species